GGCGGGGCUAAAGGGCUUAAUCCUCGUGGCCCGAAUUAGGAUAGGAUAACAGCAGCCGCGGCAACAACCAAUCAGAAGGCGCGAUGCAGAUAGCGGUUCUCAAGCCGCCAAUGGGCGGGCGAGGCUCGGAGUUGGGGUAAUGACAUCAGUCAAUCAGGAGCCCGGAGACAGAAGCUCCUCCUUCCUUCUCCCCGUCCCCGGGGGCGGGCUACUGGGGUGCAGAGAAGGGGUGGCGGUGCCGCGCGUGCGCAGGGCUGUGUUUCCUUCUAGCACCUUAAGGUGUGAAUCUGUGGUGGCUUCAGAUGAUCUGAAUCCCAGCGUCUCCCACCCCCUCUUCGCAUUCCCAGCUCCACACGUUCCCAUCUCUGUUCCCGUGCCUGCCAUGAGCACUUGUGCUGCCUCUCGCUUCAGCAGCGAGGCAUUGCCAACAAGGCUUAUUUGGGCUGUACAGAGCCUGUUUUUAAAACCCACUGUGCUGGGCAUGAUGCAGUCCGCAUGCUCACAGGCUCCGCCAGGGGUUCAUUUAGCUGUCUUCAGACCUCACUUUCAGAUGCAAGAGCACUGGGCUUCGUCUCUCUCCAUCUGUGUCCAGCGGUGUCCAGCUGGAUGCAGGCUGGCUUUGUGUGGGCAAGGACAAAGCUCUGCGUGGAGUCUGAUAUGAGCCUUCCCAUCCUCUGUGCACCAUGCAGGACAUCUUCACCACCGCUUUGGAGCAGCACCCGUACCUUCGGUUGAGAACUGCAGCCUGAACCCAGAAAUCAAUUUGUAGUACCUGAGUGGAGGAGACGAAGGAGGCCAGUUCACGUUUGGUUCCUGUUCUGAUUCAAGUCACAUCGCUCUGGAGUGCUCCCAGAUUUGGUAACAGAGGUAAACCUGAGGGAAUCUUCAGUUCUAAACACUUUUGUUGUGAAGUCCCAGCUCUCAGGUGCAAGUGGAAGACUUAGUCCCCAGACCAGACUGAAUAGAAAGAUCUCAAAUCUGGGUCAGUCUUGCUCCCCCUCUGACUGCAGAAGCUCGUAGUCGUGGAAAGCAAGCAAAGCAGUCAUGUCUGCCCUUGUAUUCAGUUUUUGGGAGCCAAAAAUUCCCCAAGUUCUGGAGCUGCCGUCACAAUGGCAUUCAAGAUGAGUUUUUCUCCAGGUGCAGCAGAGGAUAGCGGUAGCUCUCCUGGGUGCAAACAGCGCAGAGGAGAAAAGCUGGAAUUACUGCAAU
ensembl:lncRNA